CAGUCGCCGCGGGAACACGAACCGUGCGAACGUUAUUCGGAAUUACUGGGCUUAAAGCGCGUGUAGGCGGGCCGCCACGUCGGUUGCUGAAAUCCCCCGGCUCAACCGGGGAAGUGGCAUCGAUACGAGCGGCCUUGAGGGGGGUAGGGGGAUCUGGAACUUCCGGUGGAGCGGUGAAAUGCGCUGAGAUCGGAAGGAACGCCCGUGGCGAAAGCGAGGUCCUGGACCCUUUCUGACGCUGAGACGCGAAAGCCAGGGGAGCGAACGGGAUUAGAUACCCCCGUAGUCCCUGUCUCUUAUA
rnacentral:rRNA from 1 species